rnacentral:rRNA from 1 species
UACGAAGGGGGCUAGCGUUGCUCGGAAUGAUUGGGCGUAAAGCGUCUGUAGGUGGCUUUUUAAGUCCGCCGUCAAAUCCCAGGGCUCAACUCUGGACAGGCGGUGGAAGCUACCAAGCUGGAGUACGGUAGGGGCAGAGGGAAUUUCCGGUGGAGCGGUGAAAUGCGUAGAGAUCGGAAAGAACACCAACGGCGAAAGCACUCUGCUGGGCCGACACUGACACUGAGAGACGAAAGCUAGGGGAGCGAAUGGG